UGCAAUAGGCUGCACACACCUAUGGCUGUCGGUGAUGCAUUUUAUGCACAGAAUUGACAUGGCCAGCCCAGAACAGAGUUAUAAGCUGCCAAUAUCACGUGUGCUGUGGUUGCAAUUAGUUCACCCCAUUCAGCAACUCUUUAACUGGCUACAUCUCUAUCAUGAAAAAAACAAAAAACAAAUGUGAAUCAUCAUUCACUGGAAUAAAAGCUUUCUGUAUUUGUUGUAUGAAACCCUUAACCUUAUAUUGCAGGAUACUACAGCAUGAUCGCUAUACUCAAAGGGAGGACUGGGAUUGGCAGAGGGUUCUCAGCCAUAAUCUAAUCUCAGAUUUAAUCAAUGACAAGCAGCCCAUCCUGGGUUUUUCUUUUAGCUAAUGAGAGACAUUAGAAAGUGUAAAAUGUGUUUUAUUUACUUGUUUGUGUUGUGUUAAUGCAUCUGUAACACAUUUAAAAGAUGAGGAAGAUGUGUAAACUCUUUAAUAUCAUUCACAAUCACUUUACAUUGUGUCUACAAGGAUACAAAGAACAACAUGAAUACAUUUAUCAAUAGAAUCUCUGAAUGACAUCUGACAUGUAUGUGCAGACUAAAGGACUCUUUCAUGAUAUUGAUAAAAAUCUGCACUUUUCCCAGCACCAGAUACAUGACUGCAGGGAACAUUUCUUUACAUUUGAGUUGCUGAUUAGGUUAUCCAUGUGUUAAAUAAACACAGAUAUAGUGGGCAUUACAUAUG